rnacentral:rRNA from 1 species
UAACAGAAAGUAGCUUGCUACUUUGCUGACGAGCGGCGGACGGGUGAGUAAUGCUUGGGAACAUGCCUUGAGGUGGGGGACAACAGUUGGAAACGACUGCUAAUACCGCAUAAUGUCUACGGACCAAAGGGGGCUUCGGCUCUCGCCUUUAGAUUGGCCCAAGUGGGAUUAGCUAGUUGGUGAGGUAAUGGCUCACCAAGGCGACGAUCCCUAGCUGGUUUGAGAGGAUGAUCAGCCACACUGGGACUGAGACACGGCCCAGACUCCUACGGGAGGCAGCAGUGGGGAAUAUUGCACAAUGGGCGCAAGCCUGAUGCAGCCAUGCCGCGUGUGUGAAGAAGGCCUUCGGGUUGUAAAGCACUUUCAGUCAGGAGGAAAGCGUGGUGGUUAAUACCCAUCAUGUGUGGCGUUACUGACAGAAGAAGCACCGGCUAACUCCGUGCCAGCAGCCGCGGUAAUACGGAGGGUGCGAGCGUUAAUCGGAAUUACUGGGCGUAAAGCGUACGCAGGCGGUUUGUUAAGCGAGAUGUGAAAGCCCCGGGCCCAACCUGGGAACUGCAUUUCGAACUGGCAAACUAGAGUGUGAUAGAGGGUGGUAGAAUUUCAGGUGUAGCGGUGAAAUGCGUAGAGAUCUGAAGGAGUACCGAUGGCGAAGGCAGCCACCUGGGUCAACACUGACGCUCAUGUACGAAAGCGUGGGC